GAAGUGGAGGAUGAGGAGGAGGAGGAAGCUGUUGCUGAGAAUGUAGAUGAAGUGGAGGAUGAGGAGGAGGUAGACGUCGAAGCACAAGUGGUAGAGGAGAAUGAGGAGCUGGAGAUGCAGGAUUUUGAGGAUGUAGAGGUUGAGGCUGAGGAGGUUAGGUCUUUUUCUGGCGAGUCUCCUGAGGUGUAUAGUGAGUUCUCCGGGUAUGACACCACAAGCUCUGAGGAUGAAGAUGAUGAAGACGAGGACCACCUUCCACCACAUCUGCAGUCCACCCAGAGGAUUUCCCCCGACUUAAGAUUCCCAUGGAACCACGAGGAGCCAGAGGAGUCCCCGGAGUGCCAAGAAGACCACGUCUCCAGGAAGAGAAGAAGAGAGGAAGACGAGGAAGAUGAUGAAGACGAGGACCACCUUCCACCACAUCUGCGGUCCACCCAGAGGAUUUCCCCCGACUUAAGAUUCCCAUGGAACCACGAGGAGCCAGAGGAGUGCCAAGAAGACCGCGUCUCCAGGAGGAGGAGAAGAGAGGAAGAUCCUGAAGAGGAGCUCCCUGGGAAGAGGCCAUGUCGUGAGAGGGACGUUUGAGAAAAGGAAUAUCAUCAAGAACCUUCCUUUAACUCCUUCAACUACUUCUAAUGAUGAAGAGAAGAUGAGGAUUUAGCAGAAGAACCAAACCUUCACCAUCUUCCUUUGGAUCAUCUUGUAAGAGAAGCUGGAUGUACUUUCUUGCUGAUUUGAUGAUGAGUGAAGGUGGGAAGGCUGAAAGACUGGAAACAGUCACACAUAGAAAGAAUUUAUUGAUGGUUUUUACAUCUGGCAGGUCUAGGGAUGCCUUAGGUAGCGACUUGCUCCGUGGCUUUUCUUUACCCCGCUGCUAGAUUUAGUUUCUUAGAUGUUAAGGAGUCUGGCAGGUCUAGGGAUGCCUUAGGUAGCGACUUGCUCCGUGGCUUUUCUUUACCCCGCUGCUAGAUUUAGUUUCUUAGAUGUUAAGGAGUCUGGCAGGUCUAGGGAUGCCUUAGGUAGCGACUUGCUCCAUGGCUUUUCUUUACCCCGCUGCUAGAUUUUGAUAUAAGUUUUAGAUGUUAAGAUUUUCCUUUAGCACAGACAUCUGAGCAGACUCUAAGGACUUGAGAGACCCAGAGACCAGUUCAUCAGUUGAAAUGGUGUCUGUGAUGUUGGUUAGAAGGCAAAGAGAUGAUACUUGGUGGGAAUACUUGAUUGCAAACCAGUUUGAGGCAGAGGACUGCUUUCAGCUGUGAAUUGAUCUAGUUCUAGAUGUUCUAGAUGUUCCUCUGGUCAGUUAGUUUUCAGGCCUAGUUUGAGGGAAAGAAACCUCCAUAUGAUCAAGGCCUAUUCUGACCGCAGUGGAUCUCUUCUGUUUUUUGAAUCCUAUGUUGGACCGAGCCGCUACAAGGUUUGGGCCUUCAGAAGAUGCUGAUGAGAUCUACAGCGACCUAACCAGAGGAGGAUCACCUGAUCUGCUGACCUUUACAAAAAAUACAGUGGACGUCCAAAAGCAGAGCUCCUGUGAGGAACCGGGACAUCCAGGAUGGUGAGGAGCUUCCCUGUCCCCACCUGAGGACGGGACAGAGAAAGACUGGAACAGAAAACACGCGGAGGAAAGCGGGUUGACCAUGAAAGCAGUGUUCUAGCAGCCGGAUAGCAUUGGAACAGAGUCCAUCCACACGUGUUUGGAGGAGCUGAAGAAGAAGAUGGAGUACAUAGACCGCUAAGGAGGAGAAACAUGGCUCCUCUAUUUGUCUCCAGCAUUCUGGUGUCCUGGACUGAAAGACGGUGAAGACCCUGCAGCUAAACCAUCAGUCUGCUACACCCAGUGAGAGAAGCUUCUCCUUGGACCGGAGCCUCUGUUUGUUGGACGUCUGCUGUCUCGUUAAAGACCCACUCGGCCACAGUGGAAGGGCGCUGACAUGGAACUUCCUGCUUCCUGCUUAAAGCUAGUUUUCCUCUCUGCUGUCACUGCUUCAUUGCUCAGGAGGAGGGACUGCUGCAAAAUGAACGAUUGGAUGUGAUUGGCUGAGCUUCCUUGGAUUAAAGACGUUCCUCUAAACGCCAUAUUAAACUGGAUUUAUCUUCAUGAUGUUGUAAAUAGGAUCUAACCAGAUGUCUGUGAUUAAUUUGAUAUUGUUUGUGUUGAUUUCUGUUACUUGUUUCUGUAUUAAAGCUGUCAUGUUAAUUGCCUUUAGAUUACAUUUCCUUCUGUUUUACAAGACUGAAUUAUAAUAAAUCCCCCUACUGGGUCUGUUUCUGUUAAAGUAUGAUUCUGUCACCUGUUAUUUCUCAC